GACGAACGCUGGCGGCGUGCCUAAUACAUGCAAGUCGAGCGGACUGAAUGGGAGCUUGCUCUUGUUCGGUCAGCGGCGGACGGGUGAGUAACACGUGGCCAACCUCCCCGCAGGACGGGGAUACCCCCGGGAACCCGGGGCUAAUACCGGAUACACCCGAGACCGCCAGGGCCUUUGGUGGAAAGCCGGCGCAGGCUGCACCUUCCGGAUGGCCCCGCGGCCCAUUAGCUAGUUGGUGAGGUAACGGCUAACCAAGGCGACGAUGCGUAGCCGGCCUGAGAGGGUGACCGGCCACACUGGGACUGAGACACGGCCCAGACUCCUACGGGAGGCAGCAGUAGGGAAUCUUCCGCAAUGGGCGAAAGCCUGACGGAGCGACGCCGCGUGAGCGAAGAAGGCCUUCGGGUCGUAAAGCUCUGUUGUGAGGGACGAAGGAGCGCCGUUUGAAGAAGGCGGCGCGGUGACGGUACCUCACGAGGAAGCCCCGGCUAACUACGUG
rnacentral:rRNA from 1 species